GACGGCAGCAAAGCACAGCGGCAGCCCGAUGACAGCACUCGAAGGUUGGCAGCAGCUAGGCACAGCGGUAGCCCGAUGACAGCACUCGAAGAAUAACGGCAGCCCGAUGGCAGCACAUGAAGAAUAACGGCAGCCCGAUGGCAGCACACGAAGGUUGGCAGCAGCUAGGCACAGCGGCAGCCCGAUGACAGCACUCGAAGGUUGGCAGCAGCUAGGCACAGCGGUAGCCCGAUGACAGCACUCGAAGAAUAACGGCAGCCCGAUGGCAGCACACGAAGGUUGGCAGUAGCUAGGCACAGCGGCAGCCCGAUGACAGCACGGGUCGAGGGAACGUUUAAAACCCCACUCAACCCUACCGACUGCUCUCACUGCGGUCUGAGAGAGGAGGGAACGUUAAAACCCCGCUCCACUCAACAGCCGAGACACUCACACAAACCUUAGAGCCGAGGGAACGUUAAAACCCCACUC